rnacentral:misc_RNA from 1 species
UUGAAAAUGAAAAUAUGGGAGGUUCGUGAUCCUGGGUAUAGUGAUUUGAUUAGAUUUUGGAGACUACUUAUUAUCAGCGAUAUUAAUUUCAAAACUUCCUAGUGCAUCAAAGUCGGAUUUUGGUAGAUUGACAAAUUUCGAGUUGAGUAAUAGUGCUUCUUAUCAAUGGAAGUGCUCACCUAAUGUGGAAAAAAAAAAAGGUGCAACUUUCUAAAGCCUUGCGCUUCGAACAAGGCGCACUCCUAGUGAUAGAUUCAAAAAGAAAAGAGAAGGAAACCAGAGAGAUAAAAGAAAGAAUCAGAGAAAGGUGAGAGAAGCCAGAGAAGAGAAAUAGAGAAAGAAAACCAAUUCAUUGAUGUUAUGGAAAGUCAAUCAUUAU